rnacentral:rRNA from 1 species
UACGUAGGGGGCAAGCGUUGUCCGGAAUCAUUGGGCGUAAAGAGCGUGUAGGCGGCUUGGCAAGUCUGGUGUGAAAUCUUGCGGCUCAACCGCAAGCGGUCACUGGAAACUGCCUCGCUAGAGUCCGGAAGAGGAGAGCGGAAUUCCCGGUGUAGCGGUGAAAUGUGUAGAGAUCGGGAGGAACACCGGUGGCGAAGGCGGGUCUCUGGGCAUCUCCUGACGCUGAGGCGCGAAAGCGUGGGGAGCAAACGGG